rnacentral:ncRNA from 2 species
UUUAACCACUAGGGGUGCAAUUUUUUGCUGAGAGAGGUUUUGAUGCCUUAACCCUUAUACCUGAUCUAGAUAAUACUAGCGGAGGGAAGUGGGUCAACUAUUCA